UCUGACUGAUUGGCAGCAAAAACCUGCAGAUCAACUGGGAUGUCAAGUGAGAUUGAUGCUUCAUCCAAUUGGUUGCACAACACAGAGCCAAGCUGAGCACUGCAUUGUUCCACUCUACCAACUGACCAUGAGGAUCUUUGUCGGAUGAGAGCUCAUCAACCAACCAACCAGCCAACUCUGGAAGAUUAAAGACUCUACAGAGACCAGGUGUAGAGUUCAGACCAAAGAUUAACCACCCAUCUCACUUCCCUUCCCUUCAUCUUGGACCACAGAAACGGCC